UACGUAGGGUGCGAGCGUUAAUCGGAAUUACUGGGCGUAAAGCGUGCGCAGGCGGUUCGUUGUGUCUGAUGUGAAAGCCCCGGGCUCAACUUGGGAACGGCAUUGGAAACUGGCGAGCUAGAGUGUGGCAGAGGGGGGUGGAAUUCCGCGUGUAGCAGUGAAAUGCGUAGAGAUGCAGAGGAACACCGAUGGCGAAGGCAGCCCCCUGGGCUGACACUGACGCUCAGGCACGAAAGCGUGGGGAGCAAACAGG
rnacentral:rRNA from 1 species